GGGUCAUUAGGUUGGUCGUGCCACCGGUACGUACUGGUCUCACUGAUUCCUCCUUCCUGAAGAACCGUAAUGCCAUUAAUUUGGUGUUGCGGGGAAACAGGACUGUUACUUUGAAAAAAUUAGAGUGUUUAAAGCAAUCUAACGCUUGAAUACAUUAGCAUGGAAUAAUGAAAUAGGACGAUCGAUCCUAUUUUGUUGGUUUCUAGGAUUGACGUA
rnacentral:rRNA from 1 species